CACUUUCUCCACACAGUUGAAGAAUGGGGAAAUUGUAUCUGUUGGAAUUCACCGCAAAACAGGUGGAAAUCUCACCUGGGGGGACAAGUGGCCACUGAAAAGGAUAUACAGGACACAACUCAAGGCCAUGCAUGAAAUCCCUGUUCCAUUCUACUGGGGACACAGGAUGAGAAGCAGCUAGUGACUUCAGUUUGGACAGUCCACGUCUCAUCUGUUCACACUCUCUGUUGUACUUUCUAUGGAAGCCUGCAAGUAUAACUUCACAUUUGUUCAA